UUUUAACCUGUGCUGAAUUGAGACAUCCAUAGCUCGUGGCCACUGGACCAACCAAACUAUUUGGCAAUUCAUGUAAAUAAUGUUGUCACAUAGCCUAUACGAUUUCCGGACAUCUAUUAUUGGGCUCUAUUCGUAUAUACAUACACGCUUGAUUAGGCCAUCAUCGGAGCGCCGAGGGCGUUCAAACGACGUGCCACGCCCUGAUGCACGCACGCAACCGGAAGAGCAAUAAUGACGCAUCCAAUUUCUUGAUAGGCAACCAAAGAAAACAAACUCAAGAUGGGAUUGAAACUGCCAUUAGAAAACGUUAGCGUCAUUCGUGACUGUUCCUGGAACGACAAAGCCUUCAUAUUGUCUUUUCCCUAUUUGUCAUGGCAACCCUAUUUCUCCUGUUGUUACACGUGGCAAACUGAAUCACGCGUGAUUGGAAAGUUGUUUGCACAGCACAAAACGAAACUCUAGAAGAACAAGAUUGCAAUUGUAUUGAAACGAUUCCCAUCCCCGGCAUCCGUCAAAUGAAACGAAAAAUACACCCUCGUGAAAUUCAA